rnacentral:rRNA from 1 species
AAAUUGAAGAGUUUGAUCAUGGCUCAGAUUGAACGCUGGCGGCAGGCCUAACACAUGCAAGUCGAACGGUAACAGGAAGCAGCUUGCUGCUUCGCUGACGAGUGGCGGACGGGUGAGUAAUGUCUGGGAAACUGCCUGAUGGAGGGGGAUAACUACUGGAAACGGUGGCUAAUACCGCAUAACGUCGCAAGACCAAAGAGGGGGACCUUCGGGCCUCUUGCCAUCAGAUGUGCCCAGAUGGGAUUAGCUUGUUGGUGAGGUAACGGCUCACCAAGGCGACGAUCCCUAGCUGGUCUGAGAGGAUGACCAGCCACACUGGAACUGAGACACGGUCCAGACUCCUACGGGAGGCAGCAGUGGGGAAUAUUGCACAAUGGGCGCAAGCCUGAUGCAGCCAUGCCGCGUGUAUGAAGAAGGCCUUCGGGUUGUAAAGUACUUUCAGCGGGGAGGAAGGUGUUGUGGUUAAUAACCGCAGCAAUUGACGUUACCCGCAGAAGAAGCACCGGCUAACUCCGUGCCAGCAGCCGCGGUAAUACGGAGGGUGCAAGCGUUAAUCGGAAUUACUGGGCGUAAAGCGCACGCAGGCGGUCUGUCAAGUCGGAUGUGAAAUCCCCGGGCUCAACCUGGGAACUGCAUUCGAAACUGGCAGGCUUGAGUCUUGUAGAGGGGGGUAGAAUUCCAGGUGUAGCGGUGAAAUGCGUAGAGAUCUGGAGGAAUACCGGUGGCGAAGGCGGCCCCCUGGACAAAGACUGACGCUCAGGUGCGAAAGCGUGGGGAGCAAACAGGAUUAGAUACCCUGGUAGUCCACGCCGUAAACGAUGUCUACUUGGAGGUUGUGCCCUUGAGGCGUGGCUUCCGGAGCUAACGCGUUAAGUAGACCGCCUGGGGAGUACGGCCGCAAGGUUAAAACUCAAAUGAAUUGACGGGGGCCCGCACAAGCGGUGGAGCAUGUGGUUUAAUUCGAUGCAACGCGAAGAACCUUACCUGGUCUUGACAUCCACAGAAGAAUCCAGAGAUGGAUUUGUGCCUUCGGGAACUGUGAGACAGGUGCUGCAUGGCUGUCGUCAGCUCGUGUUGUGAAAUGUUGGGUUAAGUCCCGCAACGAGCGCAACCCUUAUCCUUUGUUGCCAGCGGUUAGGCCGGGAACUCAAAGGAGACUGCCAGUGAUAAACUGGAGGAAGGUGGGGAUGACGUCAAGUCAUCAUGGCCCUUACGACCAGGGCUACACACGUGCUACAAUGGCGCAUACAAAGAGAAGCGACCUCGCGAGAGCAAGCGGACCUCAUAAAGUGCGUCGUAGUCCGGAUUGAGUCUGCAACUCGACUCCAUGAAGUCGGAAUCGCUAGUAAUCGUGGAUCAGAAUGCCACGGUGAAUACGUUCCCGGGCCUUGUACACACCGCCCGUCACACCAUGGGAGUGGGUUGCAAAAGAAGUAGGUAGCUUAACCUUCGGGAGGGCGCUUACCACUUUGUGAUUCAUGACUGGGGUGAAGUCGUAACAAGGUAACCGUAGGGGAACCUGCGGUUGGAUCACCUCCUUACCUUAAAGAA